GAAGUGACUGUGGUCUUUAGAUUCUGGGGUCUUAUUUAGCACCACGUGGAUUCAGUUUUCUAAAGGAUUCUAAAUGGUGUGGAAGGACAUGAAUAUCUGGCCCAGAAAUUAAAAGCAAACGGAAGAGAAAAUCUAUCCAUAAUAUGCUUUAAUUGAUACACAGUAUAGCAUGUGCCGAGUGUGAGCUGAGAGAGUACUGGGAGGAGAUGCAAAAGGAGAGCUUUAAAGUGAUUGAAGUUAAAUAUCUGUAAGCUUAGAAAAUAUUCCUUCUGCUUUAAAGUGUAUUACAUGAGCCCAUGGUAACCACAAAGAAAAUACCUGUGAGAAAUAUACUUAUAAUUUAAAAAAAAAUUAAAGUUUAUCAUUGUAAAUGCUCAAUGAAGAAUAUGUAGAAGAAAUUAUCACAAUUUCACACUUCAUGUAUGCAACUCUCACAGCUAACAUGAUGCUAGUCACUGAGAAGGACAAAACUUGUCCUCAGAAAUUAGUAAAGUGCAAGUGUGGCCUAUUUUUGGGACUGUUUUGUAGCCAAAACAGUUGUAGGUUGGAGGCAAAAGAAAAGAAAAAAAGCCAUUGAGGAAAGAAGAAAUUAAGUUAUGUCUGUAAAGAGCCGUAUCCUGUGAGUAGAAAACUAAAUACUUCAAAAAGGAAUUCCUCUGAAAACUUGUAAAUGGGUUCAGUAAAGUUACUAAAUCAAACUUAACAUUAUAGAAGCAUACCAGUGAUGAACAAUUUCAAAGGGUAAGAAAAAGAACUUCAUUUAGAAUAGCACUGAUUCUGUAAAGUACUUAGGAGUAAACAUAAGCAAGGACGUUAAGACGUGGGCCGUGAAUAAUACAGACAAUUGCUGGAAUCAGAGAUGACGCAGACAGAUGCAGUGAUGUCCUAUGACCAUGGGUAGCAAGGGUUCAUAGUCACAAGUCUACAAUCUUCAGAGCAGGAUGGCAAUUAUUUGCAGUCACUAUUAAAUCUCAUUGACUUUUAUUUUUCACUUCUUUUUUUUUUUAUUAUUUUCUUCAUUUACAUUUCAAAUUUUAUCCCCAAAGUCCCCUAUACCCUCCCCCCACCCUGCUUCCCAAGCCACCCACUCCCGCUUCCUGGCACUGUAUUGGGGGUAUAUGAUCUUCACAAGACCAAGGGCCUCUCCUCCCAUUGAUGGCCAACGAGGCCAUCCUCUGCUACAUAUGCAACUAGAGACACAGUUCUGUGGGCUACUUGUUAGUUCAUAUUGUUGAUCCUCCUAUAGGGUUGCCGACCCCUUUAGCUCCUUGGUUAGUUUCUCUAGCUCCUUCUUCAGGGGACCUGUGUUCCGUCCAAUAGAUGACUGUGAGCAUCCACUUCUGCAUUUGCCAGGUACUGGCAUAGCCUCACGAAAAAGAGCUAUAUCAGGGUCCUGUCAGCAAAAUGUUUCUGGCAUAUGCAAUAUUGUCUGGGUUUGGUGGUUAUAUAUGGGAUGGAUCCCCAGGUGGGGGUCCUUUCUACUGUCUCAGCUCAGAACUUUGUCUCUGUAACUCCUUCCAUGGGUAUUUUGUUUCCCAUUCUAAGAAGGAACGAAGUAUCCACAUUUUGGUCUUCCUUCAUCUUGAGUUUCAUGUGUUUUGUUAAUUGUAUCUUGGGUAGUCUAAGUUUCUGGGCUUCUAUCCACUUAACAGUGAGUGCAUAUCAUGUGUGUUCUUUUGUGAUUGGGUUACCUCAAUCAGGAUGAUAUCCUCCAGAUGCAUCCAUUUGCCUAAGAAUUUCAUGAGUUCAUAGUUUUUAAUAGCUGAGUAGUACUCCAUUGUGUAAAUGUACCACAUUUUCUGUAUCUAUUCCUCUGUUGAGGGACAUCUGGGUUCUUUCUAGGUUCUGGCUAUUAUAAAUAAGGCUGCUAUGAACAUAGUGGAGCAUGUGUCCUUAUUACAAGUUGGAGCAUCUUCUGGGUAUAUGCCCAGGAGUGGUAUUGCUGGAUCUUCUUGUAGUACUAUGUCCAAUUUUCUGAGGAACUGCCAGACUGAUUUCCACAGUGGUUGUACAAGCUUGCAAUCCCACCAACAAUGGAGGGGUGUUCCUCUUUCUCCACAUCCUCGCCAGCAUCUGCUGUCACCUGAAUUUUUGAUCUUAGCCAUUCUGACUGGUGUGAGUUGGAAUCUCAGGGUUGUUGGUUUUUUGUUUUGUUUUGUUUUGUUUUCAUUUCCCUGAUGAUUAAGGAUGUUGAACAUUUUUUGAGGUGCUUCUCAGCCCUUUGGUAUUCCUCAGUUGAAAAUUAUUUGUUUAGCUCUGUACCCCAUUUAUUAAUGGGGUUAUUUGAUUUUCUGGAAUCUGUCUUCUUGAGUUCCUUAUAUAUAAUGGAUAUUAGUCCCCUAUCUGAUUUAGGAUUGGUAAAGAUCCUUUCCCAAUCUGUUGGUGACCUUUUUGUCUUACUGACAGUUUCUUUUGCCUUACAGAUGCUUUGCAAUUUUAUGAGGUCCCAUUUGUUGAUUCUCACUCUUACAGCACAAGCCAUUGCUGUUGUGUUCAGAAAUUUUUUCCCCUGUGCCCAUAACUCCGAGGCUUUUCCCCACUUUCUCCUCUAUAAGUUUCAGUGUCUCUGGUUUUAUGUGGAGUUCUUUGAUCCACUUAGACUUGAGCUUUGUACAAGGAGAUAAGAAUGGAUCAAUUCGCUUUCUUCACCAUGCUAACUGCCAUGUGUUGGAGAUGCUGUCUUUUUUUCUACUGGAUGGUUUUAGCUCCCUUGUCAAAGAUUAAGUGACCAUAGGUGUGUGAGUUCAUUUCUGGGUGUUCAAUUCUAUUCCAUUGGUCUAUCUGUCUGUCGCUAUACCAGUACCAUGCAGUUUUUAUCACAAUUGCUCUGUAGUACAGCUUUAGGUCGGGUAUGGUGAUUCCACCAGAGAUUCUUUUAUCAUUGAGAAGAGUUUUUGCUAUCCUAGGUUUUUUGUUAUUCCAGAUGAAUUUGCAAAUUGCCCUUUCUAACUCAGUGAAGAAUUCAGUUGGAAUUUUGAUGGGGAUUGCAUUGAAUCUGUAGAUUGCUUUCGACAAGAUAUCCAUUUUCACUAUAUUGAUUCUGCCAAUCCAUGAGCAUGGGAGAUCUUUCCAUCUUCUGAGAUCUUCUUUGAUUUCUUUCUUCAGAGACUUGAAGUUCUUAUCAUACAGAUCUUUCACUUCCAUAGUUAGAGUCACACCAAGGUAUUUUAAAUUAUUUGUGUCUAUUGUGAAAAGUGUUGUUUCCCUAAUUUCUUUCUCAGCCUGUUUAUUCUUUGUGUAGAGAAUGGCCACUGAUUUGUUUGAGCUAAUUUUAUAUCCAGCUACUCCACUGAAGCUGUUUAUCAGGUUUAGGUGUUCUCUGGUGGAAUUUUUAGGGUCACUUAUAUAUACUAUCAUAUCAUCUGCAAAUAGUGAUAUUUUGACUUCUUCCUUUCCAAUUUGUAUCCCCUUGAUCUCCUUUUGUUGCCGAAUUGCUCCAGCUAGGACUUCGAAUACUAUAUUGAAUAGGUAGGGAGAAAGUGGGCAUCCCUGUCUAGUCCCUCAUUUUAGUGGGAUUGCUUCAAGUUUCUCUCCAUUUAGUUUGAUGUUGGGUACUUGUUUGCUGUAGAUUGCUUUUAUUAUGUUUAGGUAUGGGCCUGGAAUUCCUGAUAUUUUCAAGACUUUUUAUCGUAAAUGGGUGUUGGAUUUUUUCAAACGCUUUCUCAGCAUCUAAGAAGAUGAUCAUGUGGUUUUUGUCUUUGAGUUUGUUUAUAUAGUGGAUUACCUUGAUGGAUUUCCCUAUAUUGAACUUGCAAUCAGUAUCAUAACGUAAUACUUGAUUUCUCAGUGUUCACUGCAGUGUUAAUCACAACAGACAAGUUGUAGGGGGCUGGAGAGAAUGGCUUACCAGUUGGGAACACUGACUUUCGGAGUUCUUUCGGAGGUCCUGAGUCCAAUUCCCAGCAACCACAUGGUGGCUCACAACCAUCUGUAAUGGUAUCCGAUGCACUCUUCUGGUAUGUGUCUGAGGCCAGCUACAGUGUACUCAUAUAAAUAAAAAUAAACAAAUCUU
rnacentral:lncRNA from 1 species